rnacentral:rRNA from 1 species
UCGAGGAUCUUCGGCAAUGGGCGCAAGCCUGACCGAGCGACGCCGCGUGCGCGAUGAAGGCCUUCGGGUUGUAAAGCGCUGUCGAGGGGGAGGAAAGCCGGGCAACCGGCCUGACCUAUCCCUGGAGGAAGCACGGGCUAAGUUCGUGCCAGCAGCCGCGGUAAGACGAACCGUGCGAACGUUGUUCGGAUUCACUGGGCUUAAAGGGCGCGUAGGCGGCUGGCCAAGUCAGGGGUGAAAUCUUUCGGCUCAACCGGAAAACUGCCCCUGAUACUGGCGGGCUGGAGGGGGGUAGGGGCAGACGGAACUUCCGGUGGAGCGGUGAAAUGCGUAGAUAUCGGAAGGAACGCCGGUGGCGAAAGCGGUCUGCUGGACCCCUUCUGACGCUGAGGCGCGAAAGCCAGGGGAGCAAACGGGAUUAGAUACCCCCGUAGUCC